GACGAACGCUGGCGGCGUGCUUAACACAUGCAAGUCGAACGGGCCUUGUCCCCUUUUUUUUUGGGGGUGGGGUUAGUGGCGAACGGGUGAGUAACACGUGAGUAACCUGCCCCUCACUUCUGGAUAACCGCUUGAAAGGGUGGCUAAUACGGGGUGUUCUGGCCUGCUCGCAUGGGUGGGUUUGGAAAGAUUCGACCGGUUUGGUUGUUUUGGUGGGGGAUGGGCUCGCGGCCUAUCAGCUUGUUGGUGGGGUGAUGGCCUGCCAAGGCUUUGACGGGUAGCCGGCCUGAGAGGGUGGGCGGUCACACUGGGACUGAGACACGGCCCAGACUCCUACGGGAGGCAGCAGUGGGGAAUAGUGCACAAUGGGCGCAAGCCUGAUGCAGCGACGCCGCGUGAGGGAUGGAGGCCUUCGGGUUGUGAACCUCUUUCGCCAGUGAAGAAGGUCCUGCUCUUUGUGGUGGGGUUGACGGUAGCUGGGUUAAUGAAGCGCCGGCUAACUACGUG
rnacentral:rRNA from 1 species